rnacentral:rRNA from 1 species
UACGGGGGGGAGCAAGCGUUGUUCGGAUUUACUGGGCGUAAAGGGCGCGUAGGUGGCCAGUACAAGUCAGUUGUGAAAUCUCCGGGCUUAACUCGGAAAGGUCAACUGAUACUGUGCGGCUAGAGUGCAGGAGGGGCAACUGGAAUUCUCGGUGUAGCGGUGAAAUGCGUAGAUAUCGAGAGGAACACCUGCGGCGAAGGCAGCUCUCUGGGGACGGUACUGACGCUGAGACGCGAAAAGCGUGGGGGAGCGAACAGG